GGCUCGCAAGAGAGAUGACGGUACCUGACUAAGACCGAUCGGCUAACUACGUGCCAGCAGCCGCGGUAAUACGUAGGGGGCAAGCGUUAUCCGGAUUUACUGGGUGUAAAGGGAGCGCAGACGGUCAAGCAAGUCUGAAGUGAAACCCCACGGCUCAACCGUGGGCUUGCUUUGGAAACUGUUUGACUAGAGUACUGGAGAGGUAAGCGGAAUUCCUAGUGUAGCGGUGAAAUGCGUAGAUAUUAGGAGGAACAUCGGUGGGGAAGGCGGCUUAAUGGACAGCAACUGACGUUGAGGCUCGGAUACGUGGGGAGCAAAGAGAUUAGAUACCCUGGUAGUCCACGCGGUAAAGAUUGAAUACUAGGUGUUGGGUGCCAAUGAUAUCAGUGCCGUCGCUAACGCAGUAAGUAUUCCUCGAUGGGGAGUACGUUCGCAAGAAUGAAACUCAAAGGAAUUGACGGGGACCCGCACAAGCGGUGGAGCAUGUGGUUUAAUUCGAAG
rnacentral:rRNA from 1 species